GACGAACGCUGGCGGCGUGCUUAACACAUGCAAGUCGAACGAAGUGGCGAACGGGUGAGUAACGCGUAAUCAACCUGCCCUUCAGCGGGGGACAACAGUUGGAAACGACUGCUAAUACCGCAUACUGAAGGAGGGGAUUGCGUCUGAUUAGCUAGUUGGUGGGGUAAAGGCCGACAAAGGCGACGAUCCGUAACGGGUCUGAGAGGAUGAUCAGCCACACUGGAACUGAGACACGGUCCAGACUCCUACGGGAGGCAGCAGUGGGGAAUAUUGGGCAAUGGGCGAAAGCCUGAUCGAGCCAUGCCGCGUGUGUGAAGAAGGUCUUCGGAUUGUAAAGCUCUUUAAGUUGGGAGGCGUUACCAACAGAAUAAGCACCGGCUAACUUCGUGCCAGCAGCCGCGGUAAUAC
rnacentral:rRNA from 1 species